rnacentral:rRNA from 1 species
UCAAGAAUAUUCCCCAAUGGACGAAAGUCUGAGGGAGCGACGCCGCGUGAUCGAAGAAGCCCUUCGGGGUGUAAAGAUCUUUUAUUAGGGACGAACACAUGACGGUACCUAAUGAAUAAGGGGCUGCUAACUUCGUGCCAGCAGCAGCGGUAAUACGAAGGCCCCGAGCGUUAUCCGGAUUUAUUGGGCGUAAAGCGUCUGUAGGCGUUCCAAAAAGUUUUUCGUCAAAUCUCAGAGCUCAACUCUGAUACUGCGAAAAAUACUUUUGGAAUAGAGGGUGGGAGAGGUAGAUGGAAUUGCCGGUGUAGCGGUAAAAUGCGUUAAUAUCGGCAAGAACACCAAAUGCGAAGGCUUUCUACUGGAACACACCUGACGCUGAGAGACGAAAGCGUGGGGAGCGAAUGGG